rnacentral:rRNA from 1 species
ACUAGUAAUCGCAGAUCAGAAUGCUGCGGUGAAUGCGUUCCCGGGUCUUGUACACACCGCCCGUCACACCACGGAAGUUGGGGGCGCCCGAAGCCACUUAGCUAACCCUUUGGGAAGCGAGUGUCGAAGGUGAAAUCAAUAACUGGGGUGAAGUCGUAACAAGGUAAC